GUUUCCGUGGUGUAACCGUUAUCACUUGCGCCUCACACGCGCAAGGUCCCCGGUUCGAUCCCGGGCUGAAACA
rnacentral:tRNA from 1 species